rnacentral:rRNA from 1 species
AGUGAACGCUGGCGGUAGGCCUAACACAUGCAAGUCGAACGGCAGCACAGUAAGAGCUUGCUCUUACGGGUGGCGAGUGGCGGACGGGUGAGGAAUACAUCGGAAUCUACUUUUUCGUGGGGGAUAACGUAGGGAAACUUACGCUAAUACCGCAUACGACCUACGGGUGAAAGCAGUGGAUCUUCGGACCUUGCGCGAUUGAAUGAGCCGAUGUCGGAUUAGCUAGUUGGCGGGGUAAAGGCCCACCAAGGCGACGAUCCGUAGCUGGUCUGAGAGGAUGAUCAGCGACACUGGAGCUGAGACACGGUCCAGACUCCUACGGGAGGCAGCAGUGGGGAAUAUUGGACAAUGGGCGCAAGCCUGAUCAAGCCAUACCGCGUGGGUGAAGAAGGCCUUCGGGUUGUAAAGCCCUUUUGUUGGGAAAGAAAAGCAGCAGGUUAAUACCCCGCUGUUCUGACGGUACCCAAAGAAUAAGCACCGGCUAACUUCGU